UGAGCAAUCUGCCCUUCUCAUCGGAAUAAGCGUUGGAAACGACGUCUAAUGCCGAAUACGACCUCCUUUCGCAUGAUCGGAGGUGGAAAGCUCCGGCGGAGAAGGAUGAGCUCGCGGCCUAUCAGCUAGUUGGUGUGGGUAAUGGCCCACCAAGGCGACGACGGGUAGCCGGCCUGAGAGGGUGACCGGCCACACUGGGACUGAGACACUGCCCAGACUCCUAGGAGG
rnacentral:rRNA from 1 species